UACGUAGGGGGCGAGCGUUGUCCGGAGUUACUGGGCGUAAAGGGCGCGCAGGCGGUCUGGCAAGUUUGGAGUGACAGUGCUCGGCUUAACUGAGCAAGGCCUUCAAAAACUGCUGGACUUGAGCACUCAAGAGGGACAUAGAAUUCCGGGUGGAGUGGUGAAAUGCGUAGAUAUCCGGAGGAAUACCAAAGGCGAAGGCAGUGUCCUGGGGAGUGUCUGACGCUCAGGCGCGAAAGCUAGGGGAGCGAACAGG
rnacentral:rRNA from 1 species